UCGGAUAGUAGGCGAAGUCGCAAGCCAGGAUCCGGUGAGCACAAUCGGGAAUUGGCGAAUUAUGACAAAUUUCAUUGUCGAAGUGUGACGCAACGAGGAGGUGUGCCGCACGUAAUAACGGCAUAACCCUUACCGGCACCCAUUACAUAAAUUGGAUGCGUCGGAAAGCGCUCACGUCGAAGAGAAUCGACGUGACAGAGUCGCUCAAGAACUCUCGUGUCAACGAGAGUCGUCACGACACUGUGGACUCGCGUGCAAAAUCCUGCGCCUGAUGAUUGCAAGAGCACUCCACGACACGUGAUCCUUACAGCGUAAACAUGUCGUCUGCCUCUUUGCUGAAGAGGAAAGAACGGUGCGCAUCGGAUUGCUGGCUCCCCACAUUGGCUGACACCCGCUGUAGACUCUGCGACACUGCACCGCAUUAUUGAGACCGAGUUCGCCAUCACACGCCGAACCCAACUUCUGCGCAGCGAGAUUCGUGAAGCCAGUUCUGGUCACCGUGGCGUCGAAGCAACCCUGCGGCGAAAUUCGGUCAAAAGGUGUAGAAGUUACGAUGAGUCUGAAGAUUGUACAUCAUGGCAGAUAGGAAAAUGCAGGUGUCUGCAGUGACAGUAAAAAAAAAUAAAGCGCAGAUCUGAUGCGCCGUGGGAAUCGGUGUAAGGGAAGCUUUCACCUUCUCCUGGUGACGUCGUUGAUUGCGCCGACUUAAUCGGCGCGCGUGACCCUUCAUUCUGCAUUCUCCUCUGAACCUCCGUUUCUCGCUGCCCGAUAUCUUCUCUGCACAAGCUAACUAUCUCCAGUAAUCAGUGCAUCUAAACCAUCGCAUGCUACAAAGAAAGCUACGCUUGAAAAGUAACAUUCGCGCUAAUCCCAUUAACGCAGAAAAGUUACCUCUGCAGCAACAAGUUCGUUACUAUCGUGUUUCAAACAAAAAGAAAGACGAAAAAAAGCGCUUCAUUUUCGUCUCACCUCAUUUCGCAGCCUGCGUAUUGUGGUUUCGAAAACGUAAAUGGUAAAUACCGUUGCUUGGGCUAGCGGA